UUCUCUGUAUUUGUGCUCGCAAUCGCAUUCAUGUCGCAUAACAACCGAGGAGUCUGCAAAUCCGAAGAGCGUUUCAUAAUUUUUCAUUUUAUUUGCGAACAUAUGUUUAUUUGUCGAGAAGUUCAUAAAAAUCUUUGAUUAUUUAGUAUUUGAUGAUUGGAAUCCGUAUCUUUUAACUCGAUUGUCAGGUUUCCACGUUUGUCUAGUGCGAAGGAAGUAAUCCGACAUGGCCAACAAACACCAUCGUCCCAAUCAACCAGCUGAUAUCCAGGACCAAGAGGAAUACGAAGGCGACAAACCUCUCAACAUUUACUAUUGUAUCUGCGGGCAAAUGCUCUGUAUUCUCGACUGUCCCUUCGAGAAACUCCCGCUGCGCUCCACGGACGGCUCUCGCGUAAUCGACGGCGCGAAGCAUGCUUACAAGCUGACAUGUAUCGACGGUGAAGUGGUCUAUCUCCGACGGCCCGACGGAAUAGAGAAGCAGUACAGGAAGAAGUGCAGCACAUGUGGUAUCUGGGCGUUUUACGAGCACAAACAGCGCAGUUCUCCCGUGGUAUUCGUUCUGCCCGGCGCCCUGUGCAAAUCCGGAUCCUCCAAUGUGUCGACGAAAGUCGCUGAGGAGCCCGUUAAAAAGGCGUUUAUUCGCAAAACGACGACGCAUAUGGGUCGAACCAGUUCGGUUACGGUGUCCACAGUGGAGGAGGAUGAAGACGAACUCGAAGCUCGUGAUAUGGCCGAUUCCUACGCCGCAAACGCCAAGAUUAUCGAGAAACAACUGGAAAGGAAGGGCGUCGUCAACAAGCGAAAGGCACUGGAAGAGGAAGCACUUAAGAAAUAUCGAGCGUUCAUUAGUUAUGAAAUAUGAAGGACGAAGCUGGCCGCAUCCGCUUAAUGUAGAAUAUGAAUUAAUCCAUACCGCAGAACACAGAAGAUGCGUGAAUGUUGUAACUUACCAUUAGAAUGGAGCAGUUUAUAUGAAAACGAAGAUCAAACAUGACAAAUGGAAGCAAAAAAAGAUCGGCAACGCGGAACGCUGCUGGAUGCAUAGUAAUGGAUCUCUUAAUUGUCAUUUUCCCAUUGCUGAUUCCGAUUAUGCAAUCGUGUCGAAACGAUAGCGUUAAUCUUGUUCAAUACGUCGUCAAACUUUUGACAUUUUAAUUAGAAACAAAUUGACUGUUGGUUUUUAAUCUCGGAAACAAUCCAGUGCCCGAUCAGCGCAUGUGCCGGCAAUCGUGGCAGUUGUACAUAAAAAUAGCUUAACAGAAAAAGAGAAACAAAAUUGGAAAUGCACUGUUGACACACC